rnacentral:hammerhead_ribozyme from 1 species
GUACUGCUGAAGAGUCCCAAGCUAGGACGAAAUAGUUGUUCAGUAC